rnacentral:rRNA from 1 species
AAAUGAAUAGACGGGGGCCCGCACAAGCAGCGGAGCAUGUGGUUUAAUUCGAAGCAACGCGAAGAACCUUACCAGGUCUUGACAUUUCCUGACGACCUCAGAGAUGAGGAGUUCCCUUCGGGGACAGGAGGACAGGUGGUGCAUGGUUGUCGUCAGCUCGUGUCGUGAGAUGUUGGGUUAAGUCCCGCAACGAGCGCAACCCUUGUAUUUAGUUGCCAUCAGGUAGUGCUGGGCACUCUAGAUAGACUGCCGUAGAUAAUACGGAGGAAGGUGGGGAUGACGUCAAAUCAUCAUGCCCCUUAUGACCUGGGCUACACACGUGCUACAAUGGUCUGAACAGAGGGCAGCGAAACAGCGAUGUGGAGCCAAUCUCAAAAAACAGAUCUCAGUUCGGAUUGCAGGCUGCAACUCGCCUGCAUGAAGUCGGAGUUGCUAGUAAUCGCGGAUCAGAAUGCCGCGGUGAAUGCGUUCCCGGGCCUUGUACACACCGCCCGU